rnacentral:rRNA from 1 species
GACGAACGUUGGCGGCGUGCCUUACACAUGCAAGUCGUACGCGAAAGGGUGAACCGGCUUGCCGGGGAUCCCGAGUAGAGUGGCGAACGGGAGCGUAACACGUGAGAAACCUGCCUUGGAGUGGGGAAUAACUUCGAGAAAUCGGAGCCAAUUCCGCAUGAUGCAGCGGCCCCGCAUGGGGACAGUUGUUAAAGACGGCCUCUGCUUGCAGGCCGUCGCUUCGAGAUGGUCUCGCGGCCUAUCAGCUAGUUGGUGAGGUAAUGGCUCACCAAGGCGACGACGGGUAGCCGGCCUGAGAGGGUGUCCGGCCUCAUUGGGACUGAGACACGGCCCAGACUCCUACGGGAGGCAGCAGUGAGGAAUCUUGCGCAAUGGGCGAAAGCCUGACGCAGCGACGCCGCGUGAGGGAUGAAGG